rnacentral:rRNA from 1 species
UACGAAGGGGGCUAGCGUUGUUCGGAUUUACUGGGCGUAAAGCGCACGUAGGCGGACUUUUAAGUCAGGGGUGAAAUCCCGGGGCUCAACCCCGGAACUGCCUUUAAUACUGGGUAUCUCGAGUUCGAGAGAGGUGAGUGGAAUUCCGAGUGUAGAGGUGAAAUUCGUAGAUAUUCGGAGGAACACCAGUGGCGAAGGCGGCUCACUGGCUCGAUACUGACGCUGAGGUGCGAAAGCGUGGGGAGCAAACAGG